UCGGGAAUAUUGCACAAUGGACGAAAGUCUGAUGCAGCGACGCCGUGUGAACGACGAAGUCUUUCGAGAUGUAAAGUUCUGUCGACAGGGACGAUUAUGACGGUACCUGUGGAGGAAGCACCGGCAAACUAUGUGCCAGCAGCCGCGGUAAUACAUAGGGUGCUAGCGUUAUCCGGAUUUAUUGGGCGUAAAGCGCAUGUAGGUGGUUUGUUAAGUUAGGUGUCAAAUUGUUGGGCUCAACCCAACUCCGCACUUAAUACUGACGAACUUGAGUUUAGGAGAGGAAAGGGGAACUCACAGUGUAGCGGUGAAAUGCGUAGAUUUUGUGAGGAACACCAGUGGCGAAGGCGCCUUUCUGGCCUAAAACUGACACUGAGAUGCGAAAGCGUGGGGAGCAAACAGG
rnacentral:rRNA from 1 species